rnacentral:rRNA from 1 species
UGGUGGAGUGAUUUGUCUGGUUAAUUCCGUUAACGAACGAGACCUCAGCCUACUAAAUAGUGUUUAUUUUUUCACAAAAGUAUUCAACUUCUUAGAGGGACAUUUCGGUUUUACCGGAAGGAAGUUUGAGGCAAUAACA